rnacentral:rRNA from 1 species
ACUCCUACGGGAGGCAGCAGUAGGGAAUCUUCCGCAAUGGACGAAAGUCUGACGGAGCAACGCCGCGUGAGUGACGAAGGUUUUCGGAUCGUAAAACUCUGUUGUGAGGGAAGAACAAGUACCAAGUAACUACUGGUACCUUGACGGUACCUCACCAGAAAGCCACGGCUAACUACGUGCCAGCAGCCGCGGUAAU